UACGUCUGUAGCUUAGCUGGAGAGAGCAGUACCUUCCGAAGGUACAGGUCAUGGGUUCAAGUCCCUUCAGACGUAG
rnacentral:tRNA from 1 species